rnacentral:rRNA from 1 species
GUUGUCCUACGGGACGCAGCAGUGAGGAAUAUUGGUCAAUGGGCGGGAGCCUGAACCAGCCAAGUCGCGUGAGGGAAGACGGUCCUAUGGAUUGUAACCUCUUUUGUCGGGGAGCAAAGAGACCACGUGUGGUCAAAAGCGAGAGUACCCGAAGAAAAAGCAUCGGCUAACUCCGUGCCAGCAGCCGCGGUAAUACGGAGGAUCCGAGCGUUAUCCGGAUUUAUUGGGUUUAGAGGGAGCGUAGGCGGAUUAUUAAGUCAGUUGUGAAAGUUUGCGGCUCAACCGUAAAAUUGCAGUUGAUACUG